rnacentral:rRNA from 1 species
CGCCUGUUUAUCAAAAACAUGUCCUUUAGAAAAAUAUUAAAGGUCUAUUCUGCCCAAUGAUAUUUUAAUGGCCGCGGUAAGUUGACCGUGCAAAGGUAGCAUAAUAAUUAGUCUUUUAAUUAAAGGCUUGUAUGAAUGAAUGGAUGAAAAAUUUUCUUUUUUAAUUAAAAUAGAUUGAAUUUAGAGUUUAAGUAAAAAAUCUUAAAUAAAUAAGUGGGACGAGAAGACCCUAUAGAAUUUUAAAUAAAUUUGUUUUACUAGAAUUUAGAAUUAAUAACUGAAAAAUUACUUUAUUUUUUGUUGGGGUGACAUUAUAAUAAAUAAAACUUUAAAUGAACUUUUCAUAAAUUAAUGCUUAAUUGAUCCAAUUUUUUUGAUUAUAAGAUUAAAUUACCUUAGGGAUAACAGCGUUAUUAAUUUGGAGAGUUCAUAUCGAUAAAUUAGAUUGCGACCUCGAUGUUGGAUUAAGAAAAGAGUUUAAAGCAAAAUUUAAAUAUUCUAGGUCUGUUCGACCUUUAAUUUCUUACAUGAUCUGAGUUCAAACCGGAG